rnacentral:misc_RNA from 1 species
GAUGAAGAACGCAGCGAAAUGCGAUAAGUAGUGUGAAUUGCAGACUUUAGUGAAUCAUCGAAUCUUUGAACGCACAUUGCGCCCCCUGGUAUUCCGGGGGGCAUGCCUGUCCGAGCGUCAUUGCCGCCCUCAAGCACGGCUUGUGUGUUGGGCCCCCGCCCCCCGGCUUCGGGGGGCGGGCCCGAAAGGCAGCGGCGGCACCGCGUCCGGUCCUCGAGCGUAUGGGGCUUCGUCACCCGCUCUGUAGGCCCGGCCGGCGCCCGCCGGCGACCCCAAUCAAUCUUUCCAGGUUGACCUCGGAUCAGGUAGGGAUACCCGCUGAACUUAAGCAUAUCAAUAAGCGGAGGA